rnacentral:lncRNA from 1 species
GUUCGUAUCCUAAUGUUUCAAUGGGAUAUUUCUAUUAUCUCAAAUAUUACUAGACAUUCUCAAUUCAUAACUUGACAACUCAUACAAUAUCAAUUCAAUGGUGAUAUGAAUACAAGUAUUAACAGUGUAGUUGUAUCAUUUACAUACAACUUACCUCGGUUCACAAAAAAUACUCGACUAUUCGGUUUAAUCGGUUUGCUUGACCUUCCCCCGAUCUAGGUUCAAAUUUGG